CAGUCGCCACGGGAAUACGAAGGGUGCAAGCGUUACUCGGAAUUACUGGGCGUAAAGCGUGCGUAGGUGGUGUGUUAAGUCCGUUGUGAAAGCCCUGGGCUCAACCUGGGAAUUGCAGUGGAUACUGGGUCACUAGAGUGUGGUAGAGGAUAGUGGAAUUUCCGGUGUAGCAGUGAAAUGCGUAGAGAUCGGAAGGAACAUCUGUGGCGAAGGCGACUAUCUGGGCCAACACUGACACUGAGGCACGAAAGCGUGGGGAGCAAACAGGAUUAGAUACCCGGGUAGUCCCUGUCUCUUAUAC
rnacentral:rRNA from 1 species